UUAAUAAAUAAUUUCCAUGCUGCUAGCAACCCUACUUCCGUUUCCUAACUGUUCUUUCACAUCAACGAGUAAACCGAACAGCUGAAGUCAGCAACUGCAAUUCGUUCUUUGCAAGUGAAUUUCUUUUAUAUGAUGUGUUGUGCCAAUGUUAUAAGUAAAUAAAAUAAGUGUUGGUUUUUGUGGUAUGAUAUAAUUGAGUGUAGUAAUGUUUUUCAUACAAUAUAGUUGCUGUUGAAAAAUAUUUGUUUUAUUUAAACAGCAACAGCGUAUGAGUGUCGAAAACAUGCGCAGUCAUGCGAGAUUUAUCUGAAGUUUGUUUUUGUAAAGCUUUCAAUGGCUUCAAGUUGCUGAUUUCAUGUGAAAAAUAUGCUAUUAAAGCAAUUUCAUAAAUAAAUUUAUAAAGUGUGUAAUUGUAAAGUGUAUAAUUGUAAAGUUUUCGCAUUUGCGCAGGUAAAUUGCACUUCGUGUCAUAUGUAUAUGUUUGUAUCUAUGCUUGAGCAAAUUAUUGACGCUUAUGCCCCUAAACACCCCCAGGAAAAUAAAUAAAGCACUCGCUUAUAAUCAACGCCAACAAAUUACAUGUUUUGCGACUUGCGAUAGUGAAAUUUGUGUGCUUUUCCGCUUUAAACACCGUUCGCAGCGAUUCAAGUAUUCCUUCAGCUCAGCGGGUCCUUUGAAUUUCUUCGCCACUUUCUUGGCUGUCUGGCUGGCGCAAGUGGGUCAAGCGUUGCAUAAAUGCAUACACACACACAUACACUCACACAUCUGCACAACGAACGAGCGAAAAUAAAAGUCAUACGGGAAGAAAGCACUUGGCGCUGGCGGUGCUGCACACAUAAAACUACUGCCAAAUCGCUUACUAUCGUGUUUGUGGCACACAAAGGCAUGCCAUGCAUUAAUAUAACAGCGGUGAGAGGUGGCAGCAACAACGCGGAAUGUCGAUGCCGGACUGCCUUUACAAUGAGCCGCCGAAUCGAAGAUAUGCAAGCCGAGAAUACCGCUUACUUGCUAGUAACAGUAUCCGCAAAAGAUUGAGAUGCCUUCAUAGUUAUUUACUUAGACCAAGUUUUUCCAAUAACGAAGUUCAAUCUUGCGUUUUCCAUAUAUGAACAAUCUAGUUGCCAAGGAAGAGUCAUUGAGAACAAGAAUGACGUGUAUCAGCAGGGCAGUUUAAGUCAAGAUGAAAAUUUGCUACAAAUGAAGAUGAUGUUCAGAUGAAAACUGCAUCAACUGGAGAUGAAAAGUACUAUUCAAAAGGAUUCCAGGAACUACCAAAAGACACAAGCGUCUGUUAUUAAUUUUUUUCAUUUUUAACUCAGUAUUUAUGAAUUUAUUUUUAGUGUGUUACUCUUUUUUCCACAUAGUAUUUAUGUUUAUUCCUGUGUUCAACAAUAUAUAACUAUGGAGAAUUUUUAAGAUUUUUUC